rnacentral:lncRNA from 1 species
CUUAGGUGAUGGAGGUGAUGUGUAAUGGUAUGGUGGCGGAGAAGACUUUUUGGGAGGAGGUGGUGACAAGUAGUGAUAUGGUAGCGGAGGAGACCUCUUGGGAGGAGGUGGUGAUGAGUAGUGGUAUUGUGGCGGGGGAGACUUAACCGGAGGAGGAGGCGACGAGUAGUGGUAUGGUGGUGGGGGAGAAUUCUUGGGAGGCGGAGGUGACGAGUAGUGGUAUGGAGGCGGUGGAGACUUCUUAGGAGGAGGAGGCGAUGAGUAGUGGUAUGGUGGUGGAGGAGACUUCUUAGGAAGAGGGGACGAGUAGUGGUAUGGUGGUGGGGGAGAAUUCUUAGGAGGAGGUGGUGACGAGUAGUGGUAUGGAGGUGGUGGAGACUUCACUGGAGGAGGAGGAGACGAGUUAUGAUAUGGUGGUGGGGGGGACUUCUUAGGAGGAGGUGGCGAUGAGUAGUGAUAUGGAGGCGGUGGAGAUUUGACUGGAAGAGGAGGAGAUGAGUAAUGAUAUGGUGGUGGGGAAGACUUCCUAGGAGGAGGUGGUGACGAGUAGUGAUAUGGAGGCGGUGGAGAUUUCACUGGAGGAGGAGGAGAACUGUAAUGGUAUGGAGGUGGUGGAGACUUUUUAAGAGGAGGAGGCGACGAGUAAUGAUAUGGAGGUGGUGGAGACUUCUUAGGAGGAGGUGGAGAACUGUAAUGGUAUGGUGGUGGGGGAGACUUUUUAGGAGGAGGUGGCGACGAGUAAUGGUAUGGAGGCGGCGGAGAUGUCUUAGGAGGAGGAGGCGACGAGUAGUGGUAUGGAG